UACGGAAGGCAGCAGUGGGGAAUAUUGCACAAUGGGCGAAAGCCUGAUGCAGCUAUGCCGCGUGUAUGAAGAAGGCCUUAGGGUUGUAAAGUACUUUCAUCGGGGAGGAAAAACAAAACUAAUAAUUUUAUUUCUUGACGUUACCCGAAAAAGAAGCACCGGCUAACUCCGUGCCAGCAGCCGCGGUAAUACGGAGGGUGCUAGCGUUAAUCAGAAUUACUGGGCGUAAAGAGCACGUAGGUGGUUUUUUUAAGUCAGAUGUGAAAUCCCUGGGCUUAACCUAGGAACUGCAUUUUGAAACUGAAAUAUUUAGAGUAUCGUAGAGGGAGGUAGAAUUCUAGGUGUAGCGGUGAAAUGCGUAGAUAUCUGGAGGAAUACCUGUGGCGAAAGCGGCCUCCUAAACGAAUACUGACACUGAGGUGCGGAAAGCGUGGGGAGGCAAACAGGGAUUAGAUACCCGU
rnacentral:rRNA from 1 species